GCCAUGAGGUUGCUUCUGGAAGGCUGAAAUUGCGCCAAAAAAAUUGUGAGAUGUUUGUGUGUUUACCAGCUGGCUUGUUUGGAAUAUCUGUCCAGCUCAAAAAUGGCUCCAGCGGUUAGAAACCGGUGUUGGAUGGCAGAAUGGUUUUAUGGAAACUUCAAGCAUAUGACAGCUUAAUUUUCUUCCACAAGGCUGUGAGACCAGGUUGCAGGUGAUGCUAAAGUUAUCAGAUCUACAGCACCAGGUGACAUACAGCCAACACUUAGAGUGUCUACUUCAUUGUCAAAAGAAAUGUCUGUGCCUCCUUUGUUAAACAAGAUGUAGCAAUGUGAAGCGAGAGGCCAUAAUAUACAGAGAGGUCUUCACUUCAACUGCGUCUGCUGACAUCCAGGCUGCAAGUUGGUUAUCCGGUCAAGCUGCUGUUUGCUGCAUGAGAAGGACACCUCUGCUGCACAAGAUCUGCUACGUCAUUCUGCUGCACAAGAUGAGACUACGCUGGGACACCAUUCAAGUAUGACAAGGAUUCAACCAGAUUCAUCCGUCCUCAGACGUGUUCAGAACGCUACGUUGAUAUAUAUAUUUUGUUUUAUAUACAGAUGUUCAAGCACUGGACAAAAUGUCUACAUGAAACAUUUCUCUGUUACAUCAGCCCAGCAUAUGUGACCGUGUAUGGAGAGAUGCUCACUUCACCUCUUGUUUACGCAGAAGAAAUGCUUCCACGCUGUCGCUAGAUGAUUCUCACUCAUUACAAUGGCACCAUGAUGACUGUUUACAGAUUACAGAGAACCUAAUCCAACGCCUUUAUGCAACUAUUGAAUAAUUGGAAUACAACUUGUGACUUUAGCCCAGUGACAUUAAGCUAGGUUCUCUCAUAGCUGUCUCUUUAAAGAUGAACAAUUAAACUUAUAUACACACACGGUGCGCACAGGGAUAAAAGGUUAUGGCAGAAGUGCAGCAUUUUUCUUCAACUACCUCGAACGAUAAACAUGGAUGUAAUUGAGAUUUAUGACCUCUGGCUGCUAUUUUAAGUGUUGUGUUGCUGUGUGUCAAUAAAGCUUUGACUUCUCUUA